UUUUUUUUUUUUUUUUUUUUUAACAGUUUGCUGCUAUGUGUUCGCACUUUUCAAAGGUCAAAGGAGGUAUUCCCGGCGUGAGUUGGGGGCAGCUUUAUAAAGAACAUUUGAAAAAAAUA
rnacentral:ribozyme from 1 species